GGUCUCUCUUUUUUCUUUUUUUCUGGCUCAUUUUUUUGGCACGUUUUGCAAACUGCACUCACUGCUGGCUGGAGAGGACUGUGUUUACAGUGUUGAUUAAAAAUAUCUUGCUCUGAGCACUUUCUUUAGAUAAUUCAGACAUUCCUGUUCUGAAGUCACCCCGAAACAUCCUUUCACAACACUAAAAUAGCAACAGGGUUUUUGUUUUUUUCCAUGCUGGAAUGGUUUGAUGUCAUUAUUACCAACAACAACAAAGCAGCGCUCCUACCAUCUACGCUCUUAGCCAUCGGAUCGGCGCAGCUGUAAUAACACAAGAGCUGAGGAGCACUCUGUAAUUGAGACACCCUCUUCAGGCUGUCGGGGGCAGAGCUCCCGGCCAGCAGCACCUAGCUGAGAGCAGAGGUGUCACACGGAAAUCAAGGCCAGGCCAGAACAGUUAAUCUUCCGCGGACGGCAGGCAGGGUGCGAACGGAAUCAACUGAUUCCCUGUGGGAGAUGAUGAAUAGAGCGAGCUGCAAACCUUGGCAAUUCUGGAGAGAAAACGCUCUGAAUAUCUGACGCUCUGUGGUUAGAUCUUCUGAUUUGAGCGUUGCCAGGUCUGACUGAAACAGCAAGGUCAGGAAAGCUGGAACUCUGCUUUCGGGUGGGAUGAAGUCAUCGUUGGAGGCUCCGUGUCAAAAAGCGCUCCCGUUACCUUUCAGCAUGGUGCAAGUAUCGCAGCAGAAGGUUUAACUCCUAGUACGUCCCGUGAACCUCUCAUUGCAGAAGACACAGAGAGGAAUGUCCUUGCAACUGCCUUUGAGCGAGCCCUGAGAAGAUCAGGGGAAGGCAGCGGGAAGAAAUGGAAAGAGAGAGCUGGAAAUUCUACUGGUUAUUUUUCCUUCCUGGGUCUUCCGUGACCAAAAACCGUGAGUGUCAUUCACAGCCUGGCCGCUCUGUGAAUAAGUCGUCCUCUGAAUGUGAGAUCAAAUUAUUAGCGUGAUUGUAAGCAUUCUUCCCACGGCAUCUGCUGACGCAUCAACUACCGACUUUCAUAGCUCACCUAUUCAGCAAACCAAUUAAGAGCGUACACUGGAAACGCCAACAGCCAUAGAGCCAUACAGCAGUGCAAAACCAGCCCGGCCGGCCUUUCCCUCUGCAGAGUGAGCUGUCCGAGCGGUGCUGGGCGGACUGCAGGCAUUCACGGUUGGGCCCUUUGCAACACCUACAACUAAAUGCUCGA
ensembl:lncRNA